rnacentral:rRNA from 1 species
CCUACGGGGGGCUGCAGUGGGGAAUAUUGGACAAUGGGGGCAACCCUGAUCCAGCCAUGCCGCGUGUGUGAAGAAGGCCCUCAGGGUUGUAAAGCACUUUCAGUGAGGAAGAACGCCUGGUGGUUAAUACCCAUCAGGAAAGACAUCACUCACAGAAGAAGCACCGGCUAACUCCGUGCCAGCAGCCGCGGUAAUACGGAGGGUGCGAGCGUUAAUCGGAAUUACUGGGCGUAAAGCGCGCGUAGGUGGCUUGAUAAGCCGGUUGUGAAAGCCCCGGCUCAAACUGGGAACGGCAUCCGGAACUGUCAAGCUAGAGUGCAGGAGAGGAAGGUAGAAUUCCCGGUGUAGCGGUGAAAUGCGUAGAGAUCGGGAGGAAUACCAGUGGCGAAGGCGGCCUUCUGGACUGACACUGACACUGAGGUGCGAAAGCGUGGGUAGCAAACAGGAUUAGAUACCCCUGUAGUC